UACGUAGGGUGCGAGCGUUGUCCGGAAUUAUUGGGCGUAAAGAGCUUGUAGGCGGUUUGUCGCGUCUGCUGUGAAAAUCCGGGGCUCAACCCCGGACUUGCAGUGGGUACGGGCAGACUAGAGUGUGGUAGGGGAGACUGGAAUUCCUGGUGUAGCGGUGGAAUGCGCAGAUAUCAGGAGGAACACCGGUGGCGAAGGCGGGUCUCUGGGCCGUUACUGACGCUGAGGAGCGAAAGCAUGGGGAGCGAACAGG
rnacentral:rRNA from 1 species